rnacentral:misc_RNA from 1 species
UCUGUGGUUCGUAGUCACAUACACAAU